AGUAAUUAAAAAAAGUUACUUAUAUUUAUCUAUUUAUGGCAAUAUUUCUGACCUUGAAUUUAUGGAAGUGUUAUAGGUUUUCCUUCUAUCCCUCCCAUCAGCAGCCACAGUGAUCCUCCCAGUAAAUCUGCCCAUAUAUCACACUGCUGCUGAAUACAUUCCCGCAGCUCCCGGUUACUUACAGGCUAAAAUUCAAACUCCCGCUCAUACAGCCCUCCAUGAGCUGGCUGCUGGCCCUCUGCCAGCCUCUGUUACAGGAUAUGCUUGUCAUUCCGCACUUCUUCUGCAGGGACACUCUCCUUCCUCCCUUUUCACCUGGUGAACUCCUACUCAACCAUCAGGACUUAGCUGAGGGGCACCAUCUCUGUGAAGCGACCCCUGGCCAUGUCCGGCUUAGGUGGCCCUCUCAGAUUCUCCCACAGCCCUGAAUGUCCUCAGCCAGGCGCUGUCCCACCUGAUCACAGCUGCCUGCUCUCCUCUUGCACCCCCAUGGGCAGUGAGCUCUGCCCUUUAUUUCCAGAGUAAUCUUUGAAGAAAGCGGUCAUGUCCUCCCUCCCUUACUUGCCCCAUCUGAGUCAGAUGAGAGGUAAAGUCUUGCCAGGACCUAUGAGCUGUGCCCUGUUGGACACCUGCCUUCUUUUUGACCUCAUCUCCUUUCACAGGCUCCCCUUCCUCCCAGCUUGUUCAUCGUGAUCCACUCACACCAGCAGCUUGAAGUUCCUCAAACUCGGCGCUCAUGCUUCCACCUCCUGGCAUUUGCACUUUCUUCUCUGCUGCCUGGAACAAUCCUCCACAGAUGACACAGUGCUGUUUAUGUUGGCCAGCACCCAAUAAGCAAAUAAUGGGAAAUUGAUUAUUGAUUAUUUCCUCAUUCCCAAGUGAAAAGGAGAAAGGUAUCUCUAUUGGAGAUGAACGCAUGUUCAAUACACGUGGCCUGCCUGAGUCAUUAGCAAAGUGUCCAACAACUCUGAGAUAAAUCGUCAUUUUAUGGAAUGCCACAGGAAGAAGUUUUCUUUACAAGUUCUGAAGACUUGUGAUGAAUGAGUCCAUAGUUUCACCUUUGAAAAUGUCCCUGGGAGUGUCAACCCCAUCACUUUUACUUAUAUUACACUCAUAAUCAGUUCAUCUCGCCAAGAAAAAUAAUAUUAUCCUCAUGCCCAAACUUGUGACUUGAUUUGAAAACCAGUAAAUCAGAAAUAAAACUUCCCAUGUGUUUUUUUCCUACAUGAAUCCAAGUGACUCAGAUAUUGUGUUAUUCAAUAAGACUAUUACCAUGACUCAGAACUUCCCGGAAUGGAAUCACGGCUCAAAGAAUCCCACAAGGAAAGACAAGCAAGUGAGCGUGAAAAGCCAGAUGUGAAAGGCAGCAGAAAUGCUUCACGUGAAGCAAAGACACCCAACGGAAGCAUUGGAUUCCAAGACAUUGAAUUCCUUGAAAGGAGAGAUUUAAAAGUACCUAGAAUACAACCUUCCAUAUGACAUUUAUUAAAAUUGGACAACUAUACUUUGAGAAAAUGAUUGAUAUGAAUUACAGUGUGAUUGACCUAUGGUCUCAGAUCCAAACCGUAAACCCUACACAUUCCCACGGCUAAUCGUUUUAGGAAUAGACCAAUCCCCAGAUAGUAAGUGAAGACUCAAUGGAUUUUGGAAGUCAGUUUGGCACAAAGACCCUGGAACAGCUUCCGGGGCUAGAGGUGGAGUUUCCUGUUGCUGAGGUGGAAGAUCACGAGACAAUCAAGAAACAUGCCUCUUCCAUGGCUUGAGGUCAAGUCUAAGCUUGCUCAGUAUCUGUUACUCUCUGAUUGAACUUCCCUUUAAUUCUCCCAUCAGCCAAGCUUUGUCUCUGAGGUCUUAUAGGAAGUUUUUGGCAAAGUGGCAGAGGUGGUGAAGGACAUCAUGAAAAACCUGGAGCCAAUGAAGCAGAAAGACUUAUUCUGGAAUACAUGGUGUGGCAUCCUAGAAAACUCUAGAUAUGACAGGCUGAUUUUUCCAGCAAUGAGUAACAGCAGGGGCCAUCCGUUUACUUCAAGGGAAAACUCUCCUCCCCAUGUGCAGCUGGUCUGACCCGGUUCUGCAGCAGGACAAUUUGCCAAGACUUUGAUGCAGAAAAUUCCCUUAAGGGGACUUAUUUGGUCCGUGUAGACAAUUCUUCAGGAGUUGCAGAGAGAAAAAUAACAUGCCAGAUUUUGGGGUCACAGUGCCAUCUGCUGAAGAAAGGAGUGUUGCUCGAACAAUGAGUCCACAUGAUCACAAUUUGCGGCAGAAUGCUAUGUCCUUACAUGGUAGAAGAACAGAAGAGAAUGAACCUUGAUAUGGUUUGGCUGUGUCCUCACCCAAAAUCUCAUCUUGAAUUGUAAUCCCCAUAAUCUCCAUGUGUCAAGGGAAAGACCAGGUGGAGAUAAUUGAAUCAAGGGGGCGGUUUCGCCUACUCUGUUUUCGUGAUAGUGAGUGAGUUCUCACGAGGUCUGAUGGUUUUGUGUUUGGUAGUUCUUCCUGCAUUUAUUCUUGAUCUUGCCGCCCUGUUAAGAAGGUGCCUUGCUUUCCCUUCACCUCCCGCCAUGAUUGUAAGGUUCCUGAGGCCUCCCCAGCCAUGUGGAACUGCGAGUCAAUUAAACCUCUUUCCUUUCUAAAUUACCCAGUGUUGGGCAGUUCUUUAUAGCAGUGGGAGAAUGGACCAACACAAACUCGUUCCCUCAAGCCCUUCUAUAAGAGACCCAAUCCCAUUCUUGAGGGCUCUGUCCUCAGACUUAAAGACCCCCGCCUCAUUGUAAAACCACAUUGGCCAUUAAAUUUCAACUACGAACUCUGGAGGACACAUUCAAAUCAUAGCAGCUUCCUUGAUGGGAGUAACAUAGACGCUGAGUCUUAAGGAUAGGCAGACGGUAGAAUGCAGCUGGCUGAACAAUAGGAGAAAGGCAUCAUAGGCAGCAGGAAAAGCAAGUGCAAAGGCCCUGAGGCAGGAGGGAGCGUGUAGCAUUCACAGAAUGGAGGCCCAAGAGGGUGAAGCACAGUGAGUGAGGGGAAAGAUGGUCCAAAACAAGGUCAGGGAGGGAGGCUAGGCCCUGGUAAGAAAUUUAAGUGCAAUGGGAAAACAAUGAAACAUUUCAAACAGCGUUAUGGAAAAACCAUUUGCAAAAUUGUUUAGCUAAAUACAAACUGACAGUACUUAACAUUACCCAGCACAGUAAGAUUCAAAAGAAGUGCAAAAUAUUCGGAAGGUGGAUUUGAAUGAUUUAAGUCUGGGGAACACUGUCAUGUUCCUCGGGUGCCCUCUGCAGGCGCCAAACCAAAUUGCUGCGUGAUCCUGGGGAUUUGCUCCUUCUUGCCUCUCACUCCUCAUGGCCAGCAUGGAAGAGGAAUCU
rnacentral:lncRNA from 1 species